CCUCGUCGGCGCUUUUGUCGGUGAACGCGCCGUUGAUCGUGGAAUUCACGCUCUAUGGGAACACAUCAACGUUGGGAAACGCUAUGAGGAUAUUUCGGUUCUGGGACAGAGACAGUCCGAAGAGUGAAGUGACAGCGAUGAACAAUUUGCCCUGGCAUCCUUUUCUUUCCAUAGCUUAGAAGAUGCAUUUUGAUGUUCAAUAAUUGUUACCCUAUUUCUUGUUCCUGCAACGCUCCUGCAGAUUUCUUUAACACAUGAAAUUACUGGCAAAUUUGGAGUUGCAGUUUUUUUUUUCUUUCCCUUUGCAGUUGAUAAGUUCUAGUGCUAUCUUUUUGAGUGUCCUGUUCAUUUUGAACAUGGAUUUAACUCGAGGAGAAAUAUUUCACUGAACAAUAUACGGAUUAUAAUUUAUUUUUCUUGAAUGCCAA